rnacentral:rRNA from 1 species
GACGAACGCUGGCGGCGUGCUUAACACAUGCAAGUCGAACGCUGAAGCUCAGCUUGCUGGGUGGCUGAGUGGCGAACGGGUGAGUAACACGUGAGUAACCUGCCCUCUUCUUUGGGAUAACGCCCGUAAACGGGUGCUAAUACUGGAUAUUCACUGAUUCUCGCAUGGGGGUUGGUGGAAAGGUUUUUUCUGGUGGGGGAUGGGCUCGCGGCCUAUCAGCUUGUUGGUGGGGUGAUGGCCUACCAAGGCUUUGACGGGUAGCCGGCCUGAGAGGGUGACCGGUCACAUUGGGACUGAGAUACGGCCCAGACUCCUACGGGAGGCAGCAGUGGGGAAUAUUGCACAAUGGGCGAAAGCCUGAUGCAGCGACGCCGCGUGAGGGAUGGAGGCCUUCGGGUUGUAAACCUCUUUCGCUCAUGGUCAAGCCGCAGCUUUGGGUUGUGGUGAGGGUAGUGGGUAAAGAAGCGCCGGCUAACUACGUG